UACUUGGUUAAUGCGGCUAGCUGAAAAGCUAGUGCCGCGACGCUACCAUCUGUUGGAUUAUGACUGAACGCCUCUAAGUCAGAAUCCAUGCUGGCUAAGCAGUGUUUCUCAUCGCCUCAUUUGUUACUUGCAUAGGUUUUUAGUGCCUCGAGCACAACAUCUCAUCAAAGCCCUCUGCGUCAUGCGCUGGGCUAUAAUCGCAAUUUCCCACAAUUGAGGCGCUACAUCUAUUGCAGACGACUUUGGCGCAACCAGGUAUUGUAAGUGUGAGAGUAGGCUUGUCCUACGAUCCACUAAGAUUCAGCCUGCGUUGUACGAUGUGU
rnacentral:ncRNA from 1 species